GGACAUCUUAUACGCUUAUAUAGCGUAAGAAACGAAUGUUUACAAAUGAUCAUCAUUGAUAUCAACAUUAUCAACUUUACCGCCAUUUUUAGGCAUUGUUCAAUCUCGGUACUCAUAACUUCUACAUUAUAUAGUCAAGAUAGUUUAUGUACUAUCGCGACAUAUACAUACAUCGCGACAUCGGUUCGAAUACCGACAUUAUAAUAUCCAGAGCCACCACAUAAUGUAUGUGAUGUCGUAUAAUAAUACACCACCCCAAAACUUGACCAAGAGUACCUCAAUCUAAAUAACCACAUCCCUGUUGAUUAAAUGUUGCGGUUUAAGAUUUCCGCCAAUUGUGUUUCAGGCCAGCUUUAUAAGAACAGUUCUGAUCUGCUUAAUGCAGCAUUAGACAUGGAUAGUGUCAUAAUUGGGCCUGGGAUAUAAAAAAAUGACGAUGUGUUCAAAACGGGUCAUCCAGUUGUCACCGAUAAGAAUCAUCAUGUGCCCAAUGGCACCCUGGCUGCUGCUGAAUCGGCACCAGCAGAACAGCAAGCAUCAGAAGCAGCGUAUGUUUCGUUGCCUGGCAACCUCUCUUUUUAAAUCUAAUCAAAACUAGAAUUGCCACAAAGAAUUGGUUUCCAGCACUGGAAGAUUAGAUAUAUUUAUAAAAGAUUUGAAAUUGAAGAUAUGGUGUUUUUGAAAUAAACUUCAUUGAAGUGAAACAUAUGUUUGUGCUAGAAUAAUACUUGGGUAUAAACAGUCCUUUGAUUGGUCGAUCGCUGCUGUCAAUGAAACUAAAAAUAGUUAGCUGAUUUACAAAAGAAACCUCAGCUGGUGGUUUGUGUUACAUGGCUGAUGAUUUGUGUUACACUACUUGUGAUUUAAGGUGGAGCACAUGUGAUUAUAAAAUAAACAUAUAUUGCAAUCUAAACUGAUUUGCGUUACACCGCUGAUGAUUUGUGUUACACUACUUGCGCUUUGUUAUUAUAAUUAGAACAUUAACAUUCAUGAUUAAUAUUUAUAAGAAGGUGAGACAUAUAUGAUUUAUAAAAAAAAAUAUCAUAUUGCGAUAUGAACUGUGUAUUUAAAACGAUACAAGAGAAAUAAACAUGGAUAAAAUAUACAAUUUAAUAACACGGUGGUUAUAUAGUCAUGGCAUGAGACGGUCACAAUUAAGAUAAAUAUUUAGAAACAAUUUAAAGGAUCGAACAAACACUAUUCUCACAUUUCUUUAAUGCUUUGUACGCGAUUGAUAUAUAUAUAUAUGUUUAAAAGGAGUGUUCCGGCUUUUAAUCUCUGAAUUGAGUCUUCAUCUGACUAUGGCGCCAAUCUAUCGGGCUAAAUCUGCCGAGGCUCGAAAACAAGGAACCGGUGAAGAUGUAUACCCAAUGUCAAAUUGUAUGAAAUAUGAAUGGAUGAGACUAAGUUCCUUCAAAUCAUUUCCUAGACAAUCUGAAGGAAGGCCGAUAAAAUUAGCUAAAGCUGGGUUUGUCUUUACCGGUACCAGAGAAGAUGACACUGUUACGUGUUUUACGUGUGGUGUUACUAAAAAUAACUGGCUUAAAUAUGAUGACUCUCUUCAAGUACAUAAAGAUCUGAAUCCUAGAUGUAAUUUUGUAAACAACACAUCUACAAAUGUUGGCAUCUUAGUUCCGGGCCAGAUGAAUAUAAUACAAUCUUGGAAAAGCUGCAUAAUAAAUAUGACAUUUCAUCACCAGUAGAUACGUUAUUUCCAGUACAGACGCGUUCAUCAUAUCAUACGGAGAUCAAUAUAAAGCGCUUUAACUUAGCAAGUUCUGCUAGUUUUGUACAAACUAUGGUAGUAGAAGAAGCAAGACUAAGAACAUUUCAACACUGGCCAAGGUAUUUGACUGUUAGACCGAUUGAAUUAGCACGAGCUGGAUUAUAUUAUCUUGGUUCCGCUGACCUGAUAGUGGAAAUUUGAACCUAGUUUAAAGUGAUGCACCAGCAACAGCAGAAGAUUUGGGUAUCAUCACUCAAACAGCUUCCCAACCAGAUAAAGCUAUCCUCACUACUCGGGUGGCAACAUUUGCUAAUUGGCCGAGAAGAUCACCAUUGCCCAGCAAAGAACAGAUUGCUGAAGCUGGAUUUUACUACCUUGACCGAGAAGAUGCUGUAGAAUGUUUUUUCGGUGGUGGGAUUUUAAAAUCCUGGAGAGAUGAGGAUAUCCCAUGGAAUGAGCAUGCAAAAUGGUUUCCUAAAUGUGCUUAUUUACUGGGGAUCAAAGGUCAAGAAUUUGUGGACACUAUACAUCAACCUGGUACCGGUACGGCAAAGGCCAGCUUUAUAAGAACGGUUCUGAUCUGCCUAAUGCAGCUUCAGACAUGGAUAGUGUCACAAUUGGACCUAGGAUUAAAAUAAAUGACGAUGUGAUGAAAACGGGACAUCCAGUUGUCACCGAUAAGAAUAAUCAUGU